GCCAGUUCCGUCUCUCCAGCGUCAGUCCGCGCGCGCAGAGGGGCAAAAACGGACAGUGAAAGGGGGAUCUGACAGACACCCACCCCCUUUCCAGCGUAGAGCCCACUUUAAAUCGCACCGUUUGAGUAAUUCGUGGAAUGACUGAUCGGAAAGGGCGAGCCCCGCGUGCACACCGGAUCCGCCCCGCAACACGCGCACCGCACUCCCGAGCCCCACCGCGUCGCACCCGAGCUCGUCCGAACACACAAACACAUCAUCAUCAUCAUCAUCAUCAGCGCGGCUGCGAAUUCAAGCUCCUUGGCAGCAGUUUGGACUGGAGCUCCUGUGGAAUAAAACCAAAACACAAGACUGCAACCCUGCAAGAUUCUGACACGAGGCACAGGACUUCAGGACUUUAACAUGGACAUCCAACGGCCAGGCAAAGGACACAGGCAUUGUGGCAUUAUCUGCCUAAGAAGCUGAGCUGACCAACACCUUGAUGCCUGCAGCAGCAGCCCUUCUUCUGCCCUGAGGGAUCAGCGGCAGGCAGGAACCCAAGAACCACAUGGGCGAUGAAGGAGGCAGGUAGGGGAGGGAAGCCCAGCAAGGACAGGACUUUCGGUCAAGGAUACACCAGCAGUGUUACCCUUUGAAGAAGCUCCAGGUGGAAAACCUUCUUUUACCAGUGGCUUGAGACGUCCAGCCUCACGCGUGUCACCCACGCUGCCCUUUGAUCUGCAGGCUAUAAUUUUGGCCCAGUGGAGCAGGGCAGUCUGAGAGUCCCCAGGCCCACAGCUGUGAGCAGAGGCGCAAUGAAGUGAACCUUUACCCAGAAGAUAACC